rnacentral:rRNA from 1 species
UACGAAGGGUGCAAACGUUGCUCGGAAUUAUUGGGCGUAAAGCGCACGUAGGCGGCUUGGCAAGUCGGAUGUGAAAUCCCUCGGCUCAACCAAGGAAGUGCAUCCGAAACUGCUGAGCUUGAGUACUUAAGAGGAUCGCGGAAUUCCUGGUGUAGCGGUGAAAUGCGCAGAUAUCAGGAGGAACACCAAUGGCGAAGGCAGCUCGCUGGGACGUGACUGACGCUGAGACGCGAAAGCGUGGGGAGCAAACGGG